GAUGAACGCUGGCGGCGUGCCUAAUACAUGCAAGUCGAGCGAAUGGAUUAAGAGCUUGCUCUUAUGAAGUUAGCGGCGGACGGGUGAGUAACACGUGGGUAACCUGCCCAUAAGACUGGGAUAACUCCGGGAAACCGGGGCUAAUACCGGAUAACAGUUUGAACCGCAUGGUUCGAAAUUGAACGGCGGCUUCGGCUGUCACUUAUGGAUGGACCCGGGUGGCAUUAGCUAGGUGGUGAGGUAACGGCUCACCAAGGCAACGAUGCGUAGCCGACCUGAGAGGGUGAUCGGCCACACUGGGACUGAGACACGGCCCAGACUCCUACGGGAGGCAGCAGUAGGGAAUCUUCCGCAAUGGACGAAAGUCUGACGGAGCAACGCCGCGUGAGUGAUGAAGGCUUUCGGGUCGUAAAACUCUGUUGUUAGGGAAGAACAAGUGCUAGUUGAAUAAGCUGACACCUUGACGGUACCUAACCAGAAAGCCACGGCUAACUACGUGCCAGCCGCCGCAGUAA
rnacentral:rRNA from 1 species